UACGGAGGGGGCGAGCGUUAUUCGGAAUUAUUGGGCGUAAAGAGCUCGUAGGCGGUUUGUUGCGUCGGCUGUGAAAUCCCGAGGCUCAACCUCGGGUCUGCAGUCGAUACGAGCAAACUAGAGUGUUGCAGGGGAGACUGGAAUUCCUGGUGUAGCGGUGAAAUGCGCAGAUAUCAGGAGGAACACCGGUGGCGAAGGCGGGUCUCUGGGGCAACAACUGACGCUGAGGAGCGAAAGCGUGGGGAGCGAACAGG
rnacentral:rRNA from 1 species